CAGCCUCUCAGAGGGAAAGAGCCCUGGACUGGGACACAGUGGAAGCUCAUUCUCCUGGUGACCCGGGGACAUUGCCUCAUUAUGGAUCCUGGCAGGGGUGGCUACUCUGGCUGAUUUUGGUGCAUUUUUCAUUUCCCAGAAGGCAGGACAGGCCUCAGUGUGAGCAGGAAGGAAAUGGAACCGUCAAUCUUGUUAGAGAGGGUGUCUGGGUGAAAAGCUUGGUGAAAGAUUUUAAGGACUUCCCAUUGGCUGAAGGCUGGCAAAUGGAGUUUGCUAUCCUCUGACUGCAGCCAUUCUGAGGACUGGAAAGAAUACCCUGAGAAGGGGCCUAUUUUAUUUCUGCAGGAAGCAGGUUGUAGAGUAAGCAUCAUUCUGGCAUCUGCUCAGCUUUCGAAGAGGC
rnacentral:lncRNA from 10 species